GACGAACGCUGGCGGCGUGCUUAACACAUGCAAGUCGAACGGAAAGGCCCUGCUUUUGUGGGGUGCUCGAGUGGCGAACGGGUGAGUAACACGUGAGUAACCUGCCCUUGACUUUGGGAUAACUUCAGGAAACUGGGGCUAAUACCGGAUAGGAGCUCCUGCUGCAUGGUGGGGGUUGGAAAGUUUCGGCGGUUGGGGAUGGACUCGCGGCCUAUCAGCUUGUUGGUGGGGUAGUGGCUUACCAAGGCUUUGACGGGUAGCCGGCCUGAGAGGGUGACCGGCCACAUUGGGACUGGGAUACGGCCCAGACUCCUACAGGAGGCAGCAGUGGGGAAUAUUGCACAAUGGGCGGAAGCCUGAUGCAGCAACGCCGCGUGCGGGAUGACGGCCUUCGGGUUGUAAACCGCUUUCGCCUGUGACGAAGCGUGAGUGACGGUAAUGGGUAAAGAAGCACCGGCUAACUACGUG
rnacentral:rRNA from 1 species